CCUACCGCCAGAGCGUGGCUGCAACUGGUGGGGGCCCAAGUACAGCUGAUCUGAAAUCAGUGGACAGCAAAAUCGCUGCCAUAAUUGGGGAAGUCAGCGUGUGUGGGAUUGUGUCGGAAAAGGAGGGAGACACUGACGUGACUGAAACCACAGAGGAGAAAGUCCUUCCGGAGUCUGAAGCUGUGGGUGAACAGGAGGUUCAGGGUGAGGGGUUCUCGGAUGCAGAUGCACAGCGUCCGGCUCAAAGCAGUGCACCUUCUGCGUCUGCCACGUCCAAAAGUGGUCGGGUACUCACUGAUGCAGUCCUGCAGUUGCAGCGAGACACAAUAAACGCUGUCAACAGAGUUGCAGAUGAGCUACGGCAGAUGAGAGAAGUGAUGUAAGAAAUUGCACAAUUAAUAAAAGAUGCAGUUAAAACAUGAA